rnacentral:rRNA from 1 species
UACGGAGGGUGCGAGCGUUGUCCGGAAUCACUGGGCGUAAAGGGCGCGUAGGUGGCGCGGGCAGUCAGCGGUGAAAGUUCGGGGCUCAACCCUGAAUCGGCCGUCGAUACUCCCGGGCUUGAGCACUGUAGAGGCGGGUGGAAUUCCGGGUGUAGCGGUGGAAUGCGUAGAGAUCCGGAAGAACACCAGUGGCGAAGGCGGCCCGCUGGGCAGUGGCUGACGCUGAGGCGCGACAGCGUGGGGAGCAAACAGG